CUUAUCUUAAUAACAAGAGCGACGGGCGAUGUGUACAUAUUUUAGAGCUAAAAUCAAAACUAUAAUCUUUUAAUUUUUACUAUCAAAUCCACUUUCAUUAAAAUAAUUUAAAAAUUAAAUCCAUUUAAAUAAAUUUUAUUGUAACCCAUCUCUACUUAAACAUAAGCUACACCUUGAUCUGAUAUAAAUCUUAAUAUAAAUUAUUGAAAAUUAUUAUUCUAACAAAAUAUUCUGAUAACGACGGUAUAUAAACUGAAAAACAAAUUUAAGAAAGGUACAUCGUGGAUUAUCAAUUAUAGGACAGGUUCCUCUGAAUAGACUAAAAUACCGCCAAAUUUUUUAAGUUUCAAGAACAUAACUAAUACUACCUUAAUGNUUUAUAAUUUAUUUUAAAUAAUA
rnacentral:rRNA from 1 species